rnacentral:rRNA from 1 species
GAUGAACGCUAGCGGCAGGCUUAACACAUGCAAGUCGAGGGGUAUAGUUCUUCGGAAUUAGAGACCGGCGCACGGGUGCGUAACGCGUAUGCAAUCUACCUUUCACAGAGGGAUAGCCCCAGAGAAAUUUGGAUUAAUACCUCAUAGUAUAGCAGUUUCGCAUGAAACCACUAUUAAAGUCACAACGGUGAAAGAUGAGCAUGCGUCCCAUUAGCUAGUUGGUAAGGUAACGGCUUACCAAGGCAACGAUGGGUAGGGGUCCUGAGAGGGAGAUCCCCCACACUGGUACUGAGACACGGACCAGACUCCUACGGGAGCAGCAGUGAGGAUAUUGGACAAUGGGCGCAAGCCUGAUCCAGCCCAUGCCGCGUGCAGG